AACGAACGCUGGCGGCAUGCCUAACACAUGCAAGUCGAACGGGAUCCUAGCUUGCUAGGUGAGAGUGGCGGACGGGUGAGUAACACGUGGGAAUCUGCCUUUUGGUUCGGGAUAACCGCGGGAAACUGCGGCUAAUACCGAAUGCCCUCGAGAGACGGAAAGAUUUAUCGCCAGAAGAGGAGCCCGCGUCCGAUUAGGUAGUUGGUGGGGUAAAGCCUACCAAGCCGACGAUCGGUAGCUGGUCUGAGAGGAUGAUCAGCCACACUGGGACUGAGAUACGGCCCAGACUCCUACGGGAGCAGCAGUGGGGAAUAUUGGACAAUGGGGCAACCUGAUCCAGCAAUGCCGCGUGAGUGAUGAA
rnacentral:rRNA from 1 species